AGGACGAACGCUGGCGGCGUGCCUAACACAUGCAAGUCGAACGGAGCCAGGGGCAACCCUGGUUCAGUGGCGGACGGGUGCGUAACACGUGAGGAACAUGUCUUUCGGUGGGGGAUAGCCGGCCCAACGGCCGGGUAAUACCGCAUACGCUGACUUGAGCUCCUGCUCUGGUUCGGAAAGCAGCAAUGCGCCGAUUGAGUGCCUCGCGGCCUAUCAGCUAGUUGGUGAGGUAACGGCUCACCAAGGCGACGACGGGUAGCUGGUCUGAGAGGACGGCCAGCCACAUUGGGACUGAGACACGGCCCAGACUCCUACGGGAGGCAGCAGUGGGAAUAUUGCGCAAUGGGCGAAAGCCUGACGCAGCGACGCCGCGUGUGGGAUGAAGGCCUUCGGGUAGUAAACCACUGUCGGAGGACGAAGAUCUGACGGUACCUACCAAAGGAAGCACCGGCUAAACGUCUAGUGCCAAGCAAGCCGAC
rnacentral:rRNA from 1 species